rnacentral:rRNA from 1 species
UACAGAGGUCCCGAGCGUUGUUCGGAAUUACUGGGCGUAAAGGGUGCGUAGGCGGUGGGGUAAGUUUGAGGUGAAAGCUCCGGGCUCAACCCGGAAAAGGCCUUGAAAACUAUCCGGCUAGAGGGUUGGAGGGGAGACUGGAAUUCUCGGUGUAGCAGUGAAAUGCGUAGAUCUCGAGAGGAACACCAGUGGCGAAGGCGGGGCUCUGGACAACACCUGACGCUGAGGCACGAAAGCCAGGGGAGCAAACGGG